UACGGGGGGAGCAAGCGUUGUUCGGAUUUACUGGGCGUAAAGGGCGCGUAGGCGGCGCAACAAGUCACUUGUGAAAUCUCCGGGCUUAACCCGGAGCGGUCAAGUGAUACUGUCGUGCUAGAGUGCGGAAGGGGCAACUGGAAUUCUUGGUGUAGCGGUGAAAUGCGUAGAUAUCAGGAAGAACACCUAUGGCGAAGGCAGCUCUCUGGGACGGUACUGACGCUGAGACGCGAAAGCGUGGGGAGCGAACAGG
rnacentral:rRNA from 1 species